AACGAACGCUGGCGGCAGGCUUAACACAUGCAAGUCGAGCGCCCCGCAAGGGGAGCGGCAGACGGGUGAGUAACGCGUGGGAAUCUACCCAUCCCUACGGAAUAGCUCCGGGAAACUGGAAUUAAUACCGUAUACGCCCUACGGGGAAAGAUUUAUCGGGAUGGAUGAGCCCGCGUUGGAUUAGCUAGUUGGUGGGGUAAAGGCCUACCAAGGCGACGAUCCAUAGCUGGUCUGAGAGGAUGAUCAGCCACAUUGGGACUGAGACACGGCCCAAACUCCUACGGGAGGCAGCAGUGGGGAAUAUUGGACAAUGGGGGCAACCCUGAUCCAGCCAUGCCGCGUGAGUGAUGAAGGCCUUAGGGUUGUAAAGCUCUUUCACCGGGGAAGAUAAUGACGGUACCCGGAGAAGAAGCCCCGGCUAACUCCGUG
rnacentral:rRNA from 1 species